GGUUCCAUAGUGUAGUGGUUAGCACGUCUGCUUUACACGCAGAAGGUCCUGGGUUCGAUCCCCAGUGGAACCA